AUUUGCAUUUGUUUGCGCUGAUUUCACACCAUGUGAGCCGUCCCCCACUGGGUGUCUCCAUUUGGAACAGUCCAUCCAAACAAAGAUGGCGGGCAGUUGAUAAAGUCACAGAAGCUAGAAGCAAAGUUGAGAUGGGAAAGUUAACAUCACCUUUCAUUAGGUGUCAAUAUUGCGACCACACAAACAUCAUCUUUCUUUUCUUUGCCAAUUCAUGACAAGGGACUCUCGGAGUGUCUGGUGGGGUGAAUGCACCUCUCCACUGCACAGCCUUCCCAGCACUGCUGCACUGGACUGGAGUGGACUGAGUGCUGCUGCUAUGAGGAUAAACAACAAGCAAGAAGUGGACAAUGAAUUAAUGCCUGAAACUGAUGGUGCCAGGCCUGGAGUCCACACGUGUACAUGGCUGGCAGCUGCCUGCAUGCCUGGCUCCCUAUAUGGAUCAGAUGCAGUUGUAGUUAGUGAAAACAUAGUUAUGUCAUUAUGGCUGGAAGGAUUAAUAGCUGGGUGAGGGAUAUGCAUGUAGUAACAUGUCAUACCACAUAGUUUUUGAGUCUGAACAACUGGGUGGAUUUUGAAAUUCUUAUUAAGUAUAAGUAACUUAUAGUAAUAUUUGUGUUCAUCUUACUUUGUGCAUUCAGUCUAGACAUAAAUUCAAGACAGUGGAAAUGAAAGCUAAAAGUACUACAACUAGUGUGAGCAAGUUGAAGACCAAUAUAAUUGAGUAAAUCAAGAAGGUUUGACUGCAUCUUAAGUAAAAAUAUUUUGCAGAAACUCA